rnacentral:SRP_RNA from 1 species
GCUCGGGCUUCGCGCGGCGUAACCUUGUGAACCCCGCGAGGACCGGAAGGUAGCAGCGGUAAGCGAGUUC